rnacentral:rRNA from 1 species
AUUGAACGCUGGCGGCAUGCCUUACACAUGCAAGUCGAACGGUAACAGGUCUUCGGAUGCUGACGAGUGGCGAACGGGUGAGUAAUACAUCGGAACGUGCCUAGUAGUGGGGGAUAACUACUCGAAAGAGUGGCUAAUACCGCAUGAGAUCUACGGAUGAAAGCAGGGGAUCGCAAGACCUUGUGCUACUAGAGCGGCCGAUGGCAGAUUAGGUAGUUGGUGGGAUAAAAGCUUACCAAGCCGACGAUCUGUAGCUGGUCUGAGAGGACGAUCAGCCACACUGGGACUGAGACGCGGCCCAGACUCCUACGGGAGGCAGCAGUGGGGAAUUUUGGACAAUGGGCGCAAGCCUGGUCCAGCAAUGCCGCGUGCAGGAUGAAGGCCUUCGGGUUGUAAACUGCUUUUGUACGGAACGAAAAGCCCUGGGUUAAUACCCUGGGGUCAUGACGGUACCGUAAGAAUAAGCACCGGCUAACUACGUGCCAGCCGCCGCGGUAAAAC